AGUAAAUUGGUUAAGUUAGAAAGGGCGCACGGUGGAUGCCUUGGCACUAGGAGCCGAAGAAGGACGGGACUAACACCGAUAUGCUUUGGGGAGCUGUACGUAAGCGUUGAUCCAGAGAUUUCCGAAUGGGGGAACCCACUAUCUUUAGUCGGAUAGUAUCCUUACGUGAAUACAUAGCGUGAGGAAGGCAGACCCAGGGAACUGAAACAUCUAAGUACCUGGAGGAAGAGAAAGAAAAAUCGAUUUCCUGAGUAGCGGCGAGCGAAACGGAAAGAGCCCAAACCAAGAAGCUUGCUUCUUGGGGUUGUAGGACACUCUAUACGGAGUUACAAAAGAAAGUUAUAAAUGAAGCGGUCUGGAAAGGCCCGCCAAAGACGGUAACAGCCCGGUAGUUGAAAUGGCUUUCCCUCCAGAGUGGAUCCUGAGUACGGCGGAACACGUGAAAUUCCGUCGGAAUCCGGGAGGACCAUCUCCCAAGGCUAAAUACUCCCUAGUGACCGAUAGUGAACCAGUACCGUGAGGGAAAGGUGAAAAGCACCCCGGAAGGGGAGUGAAACAGUUCCUGAAACCGUGUGCCUACAAG
rnacentral:rRNA from 1 species